CCGGCGCACGGGUGAGUAACGCGUAUGCAACCUGCCCGUUUCAGCGGGAUAACCCGGAGAAAUCCGGCCUAAUACCGCAUGUGGCCGAGGGAGGCAUCUUCUUUCGGCCAAAGGAGGCGACUCCGGAGACGGAUGGGCAUGCGUGACAUUAGCUAGUUGGCGGGGUAACGGCCCACCAAGGCGACGAUGUCUAGGGGUUCUGAGAGGAAGGUCCUCCACACUGGUACUGAGACACGGACCAGACUCCUACGGAAGGCAGCAG
rnacentral:rRNA from 1 species